UUCCGGUUGAUCCUGCCGGACCCGACUGCUAUCAGAGUGGGACUAAGCCAUGCGAGUCAACGCCGCAAGGCGUGGCAUACGGCUCAGUAACACGUAGUCAACAUGCCCAGGGGACGUGGAUAACCUCGGGAAACUGAGGAUAAACCGCGAUAGGCUAAGGUUUCUGGAAUGGACCAUGGCUGAAACCUAUACGGCCCCUGGAUUGGACUGCGGCCGAUCAGGCUGUUGGUGAGGUAAUGGCCCACCAAACCUGUAACCGGUACGGGCUUUGAGAGAAGGAGCCCGGAGAUGGGCACUGAGACAAGGGCCCAGGCCCUAUGGGGCGCAGCAGGCGCGAAACCUCUGCAAUAGGCGAAAGCUUGACAGGGUUACUCUGAGUGAUGCCCGCUAAGGGCAUCUUUUGGCACCUCUAAAAAUGGUGCAGAAUAAGGGGUGGGCAAGUCUGGUGUCAGCCGCCGCGGUAAUACCAGCACCCCGAGUGGUCGGGACGAUUAUUGGGCCUAAAGCAUCCGUAGCUUGUUCUGCAAGUCCUCCGUUAAAUCCACCUGCUCAACAGAUGGGCUGCGGAGGAUACUACAGGGCUAGGAGGCGGGAGAGGCAAGCGGUACUCAGUGGGUAGGGGUAAAAUCCUCUGAUCCACUGAAGACCACCAGUGGCGAAGGCGGCUUGCCAGAACGCGCUCGACGGUGAGGGAUGAAAGCUGGGGGAGCAAACCGGAUUAGAUACCCGGGUAGUCCCAGCUGUAAACGAUGCAGACUCGGUGAUGGGUUGGCUUUGAGCCAACCCAGUGCCGCAGGGAAGCCGUUAAGUCUGCCGCCUGGGGAGUACGGUCGCAAGACUGAAACUUAAAGGAAUUGGCGGGGGAGCACCACAAGGGGUGAAGCCUGCGGUUCAAUUGGAGUCAACGCCGGA
rnacentral:rRNA from 1 species